UGGUGGAGUGAUUUGUCUGGUUUAUUCCGUUAACGAACGAGACCUCAGCCUGCUAAAUAGUUAAGAUUAUCCUUUUGGAUAGUCGGUAACUUCUUAGAGGGACUAUGUGUUUCCAGCACAUGGAAGUUUGAGGCAAUAACA
rnacentral:rRNA from 1 species